rnacentral:misc_RNA from 1 species
AUGUUUAUAAGAGACAGGUGAAUCAUCGAAUCUUUGAACGCACAUUGCGCCCGCCAGUAUUCUGGCGGGCAUGCCUGUUCGAGCGUCAUUUCAACCCUCAAGCUCAGCUUGGUGUUGGGACUCGCGGUAACCCGCGUUCCCCAAAUCGAUUGGCGGUCACGUCGAGCUUCCAUAGCGUAGUAAUCAUACACCUCGUUACUGGUAAUCGUCGCGGCCACGCCGUAAAACCCCAACUUCUGAAUGUUGACCUCGGAUCAGGUAGGAAUACCCGCUGAACUUAAGCAUAUCAAUAAGCGGAGG